AUAUUAUGUCAUAUCAGUGUUUCCCCUAUGUUCCCAACUAUGGGGGCGGACGUAUCGGAGGGGGGCGUGGGUGUUGGGGCGCGCUGGGGGAUACAAUGGUAGGGAAAACACUGUAUAUGAUAUUAAGUUAUAUAAUAUUAGAAAUAAAGGUGUAAUGCCAUGUCUCCUAUAUUGGUUCUACUAUAUUAUGUCAUAUCAGUGUUUCCCCUAUGUUCCCAACUAUGGGGGCGGACGUAUCGGAGGGGGGCGUGGGUGUUGGGGCGCGCUGGGGGAUACAAUGGUAGGGAAAAACUGUAUAUGAAAUUAUGUUAUAUAAUAUUAGAAAUAAAGGUGUAAUGCCAUGUCUCCUAUAUUGGUUCUACUAUAUUAUGUCAUAUCAGUGUUUCCCCUAUGUUCCCAACUAUGGGGGCGGACGUAUCGGAGGGGGGCGUGGGUGUUGGGGCG
ensembl:lncRNA